rnacentral:rRNA from 1 species
UUGUACACACCGCCCGUCGCUACUACCGAUUGAAUGGCUCAGUGAGGCUUUCGGACUGGCCUAGAGAGAGUGGCAACACUUACUCAGGGCCGGAAAGUUGUCCAAACUCGGUCAUUUAGAGG